GACGAACCGUGCGAACGUUGUUCGGAAUUACUGGGCGUAAAGGGCUCGUAGGCGGCCAACUAAGUCACACGUGAAAUCCCCAGGCUUAACCUGGGAACUGCGUGUGAUACUGGAUGGCUUGAAUCCGGGAGAGGGAUGCGGAAUUCCAGGUGUAGCGGUGAAAUGCGUAGAUAUCUGGAGGAACACCGGUGGCGAAGGCGGCAUCCUGGACCGGUAUUGACGCUGAUGAGCGAAAGCCAGGGGAGCAAACGGG
rnacentral:rRNA from 1 species